UAAUGGGUCAGCGACUUAUAUUCUGUAGCAAGGUUAACCGAAUAGGGGAGCCGAAGGGAAACCGAGUCUUAACUGGGCGUUAAGUUGCAGGGUAUAGACCCGAAACCCGGUGAUCUAGCCAUGGGCAGGUUGAAGGUUGGGUAACACUAACUGGAGGACCGAACCGACUAAUGUUGAAAAAUUAGCGGAUGACUUGUGGCUGGGGGUGAAAGGCCAAUCAAACCGGGAGAUAGCUGGUUCUCCCCGAAAGCUAUUUAGGUAGCGCCUCGUGAAUUCAUCUCCGGGGGUAGAGCACUGUUUCGGCAAGGGGGUCAUCCCGACUUACCAACCCGAUGCAAACUGCGAAUACCGGAGAAUGUUAUCACGGGAGACACACGGCGGGUGCUAACGUCCGUCGUGAAGAGGGAAACAACCCAGACCGCCAGCUAAGGUCCCAAAGUCAUGGUUAAGUGGGAAACGAUGUGGGAAGGCCCAGACAGCCAGGAUGUUGGCUUAGAAGCAGCCAUCAUUUAAAGAAAGC
rnacentral:rRNA from 1 species